rnacentral:rRNA from 1 species
UACGUAGGGUGCAAGCGUUGUCCGGAAUUAUUGGGCGUAAAGAGCUCGUAGGCGGUUCGUCGCGUCGGCUGUGAAAACCUGAGGCUCAACCUCAGGCCUGCAGUCGAUACGGGCGGACUUGAGUACUGCAGGGGAGACUGGAAUUCCUGGUGGUAGCGGUGAAAUGCGCAGAUAUCAGGAGGAACACCGGUGGCGAAGGCGGGUCUCUGGGCAGUAACUGACGCUGAGGAGCGAAAGCGUGGGGAGCGAACAGG